rnacentral:rRNA from 1 species
GUAGGGUGCAAGCGUUAAUCGGAAUUACUGGGCGUAAAGCGUGCGCAGGCGGUUAUGCAGGACAGAGGUGAAAUCCCCGGGCUCAACCUGGGAACUGCCUUUGUGACUGCAUGGCUAGAGUACGGUAGAGGGGGAUGGAAUUCCGCGUGUAGCAGUGAAAUGCGUAGAUAUGCGGAGGAACACCGAUGGCGAAGGCAAUCCCCUGGACCUGUACUGACGCUCAUGCACGAAAGCGUGGGGAGCAAACAGGAUUAGAUACCCUGGUAGUCCACGCCCUAAACGAUGUCAACUGGUUGUUGGGAGGGUUUCUUCUCAGUAACGUAGCUAACGCGUGAAGUUGACCGCCUGGGGGGUACGGCCGCAAGGUUG